ACCCCAAUGAGGUAAUGAUUUGGCAGGUAUGGGAUAGAGCCUGCACAUCUACAUUUUUAAUAAACAUCCCUGAUGACUCUGAUAUACAAACCAGUUCUGGAAUUACCAACCAGGUCAGCUCCGUAAUUUUAUAAAUGACCUUGCCCAAAGUCAAAAGUGACACAAUCCCAGGUCUUUACUGCCUGCCCAGCUUCCCUUCUUCCACCUCAGUUCACAUCUGUUUCAAGGAUAUUGUUCACCAAUCCUUGAGUUUUCAUAAUAUUUUGUUCAUUUUGAGUGUCUGUAACUCUCCAGCCUUAAGAGUCAUAACCAAUUAAGAAAAACUUGAAAGUCUGAUCUGCCCCCAACUCUGGGUCUAAUUCUGUCCUAAUAGAGAGGAUAUGAAGAGCUGGAAGCCAGAGGUUUUGCAUCUAGGAAGUUCAACUGCUAAUCUUAUCUAUAUUUUUAUUUUUUGAGUUGUAGAUGGACACAAUAUCUUUAUUUUCUUUAUUUUUAUGUGGUGCUGAGGAUUGAACCCAGUGGCUCACACAUGGGAGGGGCCACCUGUAUAUUCCUUCCUCAGUCUUUCUGGACCUUCUGGAAUCCGGAAGAAACACUCUUCUUCGAUGUUGUCAUCGUUGUUGUCGUCAUCACCGUGGUGCCCCCUCCCCCAAUGUCCUGUACUCCACAGGUCUCAGCACUUGUGGCACUGAAUUGCACUUGUCUCUCUGUCCAUUUGUUUGGCUUUCUAGACAGUGAGUUCAGCAAGGGCUGGGGUGUAUCCUACCUGUUGUGACAUAAUAAGAAAUAGAUACUGGGUCUCAGCUCCCUGUUCCUGACACAGAAUUCUUAAAACCCUUGUACUUUCCUGAGUGAUAGUGGUACCAGAAACAUCUUUUGGCAUAAUUUUUUUUUUUCCUGACGCAAGAGCUUGUAGAAUAUGCAGGAAAAUGAGAGUCUUUUUGUAUGUUCAUAGGAUGAAUGGUGGCUGGGGUCCCUAGAAAGCUUCAGUCAGGGGGUUAGUCAUCAGAGGAAAUAGCCAUGUGAUUGGAGGGCUGGCAAUUUCAUCCCCUUCUCUCCCUUCCCAUACCCGCCACUUCCAGGGAGGGUCUGGAGACUGAGUUCCCUUGUCAGUGACCAAUGGUUUAGUUCUUUACGCCAGCAUAAUGGAACCUGCAUAAAGUUUGGAGAGUUUUGGGGUUGCUGAGAUCAUCCAUGUGUGUGGAGGGUGGUGUACCCCAACUCCAUCAGGACAGCAGAUUUCCAGACUUUGCCCUGUAUAUGUUUUUAUCUGACUAUUGAUAAUAUCCCUUACAGAAAACUGAAAAAUGUAAGAAAAGCAUUCCCCUGAGUAUUGUGUGUCUCGAGAGCAAAUAAUCAAACAUGAAGGAGAGGUUGUGGAAUGUACAAUUUUUAUAGUCAAGUCAGACAGAGCUAUGAGUUAUAACCUGAAUACCUGCUACUUGAGACUAGCAGCAGAUCACGACAGUUUUGGGGGACUGAGCCCUGAACCUGUGGGAUCUGUACUAACUCUGGGUAGUUAAUGCCAGGACUGUAUUAUAGGACUCCAGGUAGGUAUUCAUGGAGAACUGAAGAAAUGCUUGGUAUUUGGAAACCACACAACUCUGGUGUCAAAAGCGUUGUGCAUUUAGGAACAGUUUGUCUUUCAGUUGUUCAUGCUCAUACCCCAAACAGUACAUACACUCCAAGCGAAGAUUUUUUACCCCCAAGAGAGUUAUCUCUUAUCCUACAUUGGAAAAUAUUAUAGAGCACUUCUUAAAAGGGGAAAAGAAAAAGCCUCUGAACUGAUCUCAAUCAAUAACAGUUAAGUAUGUUUACACAGGUCACUAACAUAAUUAGUUAUUUUUAAUGCUAAAAGAAUUAUCAUAAAGUUAGUAAUUAUUUCUAAAGAUAUAAUCUCAAGAUUACAAGAUAUUUGAGGUCAUUGUAAACAAACCUUUUAAUGAUGAUUUUAUUGAACAUGGUUAUGUUUUGAAGACACUAGUUCUAUGUCUAUGAAGAAAAUAUGAAAAUGAAAAUACCAUGAUUCUAUGGGAAAUAACUACUUUUGGUCUGAGGUACUCAUGGAUUCAAAAUGGCUGCAUCUCAACAGUAUUAGGUAAGAUGCUCUGAAAAACUAUUUUAGGCAUGACUGAGAAAUAGCUGGUGAAGACGUGAAUGAUAAAAAGGACAUGCGAAGAAGAUGAGGUUAGUUGUUAAAAGUUAAGCAUGGGAAAAUAUUUCUAAGUUAACAUACUAUGUAGACUUUAUGCGAUUUAAAGUAUGCAUGUCAAUCUAAAUGAACAGAUCAUAUGCUGUUAAGUAGAAGGUAGCUGUUUUAUCAAGAUUUCUCAGUUAUUUCGAUAUUCACAUUAGCCAAAAAAUAUGGGAAUUUUCUCAUUACAAAAUAAAAAGAUAAUAAUAUUUGUGAAAAUUAUGUUUGGGGAAAACACAGCUUUCAGUUUGUUGAUUCAGGGGAAACUACAGUGAUGGAUAUAGGAUGCUGUAACAUUGGCCUUUUGAGAACUGUUUUCAGACUAAUUCACCAUCUCUCAGAACCAUGAAGAUUCCCUAGAAGGCCCUAUGUAUGUAGUAGUCAGAGCCAUAGCAAUUGUAAAGGCCAACUCAUCCUAUACACAUCCCAUCCUGCCGUCGACACCCAUGCACAAGGACAAAACAAGGUCAUUUUUGCACAUCACUCAUGACUUUGCUGGUUUCAGAAACCCAAACCAAACUGAAUAAACACAAUAGAUUUGAUAGUUCAUGUAACUAAGAAGUCGAUUGGGGAUAUGAUUGUUUACUAUCUGAACUUCUUCAGAGGCUCAGAAGAUGUGAGAAGGACUCUGCUUCCCUCUACCUCUCGGCUUUUCUUUCCCGUCAUGUGUGACUAAUCCUCGAGCAGCCUCUUCCCUCUGGCUCACAAAAAAGGAAACAGCUUCCAGACGUGAAGUCUCUCAGCUCAAGUCCAGUGGGAACACAGCCCUGCCCCACCCAAGCUCAGGUCCAACAGGAGCACACUUCCACUCUGCCCAAGCCUUCCAGCACCACCUCCAUGCAUUGCUUUGGUUCUAGGUAGAUCAUGGUCACAUUCCUAGCACGACACCAUGGCGGGGGUAAACAUCCAAAGAACAUCCUGAGAUAAGGAGGAAGAAUGCUUGGUUCUGUACAGGGAAAUGGAGGAUCAGCAGUCUGAAAGAUGAGUGGUUAGAGAAAAUAAAGACAAGAGGUGUCCAUUACAUUCUAAUGUUUUUCUGAUUUUAACAGUGAAUCAUGUUAAUUGUAUAUUAUUCAAAAGGUCUAAAAAAAGGAAAUAAAUGUACCACUCAUGUUCUCA